rnacentral:rRNA from 1 species
ACGGGAGGUAGCAGUGGGGAAUAUUGCACAAUGGGCGCAAGCCUGAUGCAGCAACGCCGCGUGAGGGAAGACGGUUUUCGGAUUGUAAACCUCUGUCUUUGGUGACGAAGAAGUGACGGUAGCCAAGGAGGAAGCCGCGGCUAACUACGUGCCAGCAGCCGCGGUAAUACGUAGGUGGCAAGCGUUAUCCGGAAUUACUGGGUGUAAAGGGAGCGCAGGCGGGUCAGCAAGUCAGCGGUGAAAAUUAUGGGCUCAACCCAUGAACUGCCGUUGAAACUGUUGAUCUUGAGUGGAGUAGAGGCAGGCGGAAUUCCGAGUGUAGCGGUGAAAUGCGUAGAUAUUCGGAGGAACACCAGUGGCGAAGGCGGCCUGCUGGACUUUUACUGACGCUGAGGCUCGAAAGUGUGGGGAGCAAACAGGAUUAGAUACCCUGGUA